AACGAACGCUGGCGGCAUGCCUAACACAUGCAAGUCGAACGAGACCUUCGGGUCUAGUGGCGCAUGGGUGCGUAACGCGUGGGAACCUGCCCUUAGGUGCGGAAUAACUCCCUGAAAGGGGUGCUAAUACCGGAUAAUGUCUUCGGACCAAAGAUUGAUCGCCUUUGGAUGGGCCCGCGUUGGAUUAGCUAGUUGGUAGGGUAAAAGCCUACCAAGGCGACGAUCCAUAGCUGGUCUGAGAGGAUGAUCAGCCACACUGGGACUGAGACACGGCCCAGACUCCUACGGGAAGCAGCAGUGGGGAAUAUUGGACAAUGGGGGGAAGCCUGAUGCAGCAAUGCCGCGAGAGUGAUGAAGGCCUUAGGGUUGUAAAGCACUUUUACCCGGGAUGAUAAUGACGGUACCGGGAGAAUAAGCUCCGGCUAACUCCGUG
rnacentral:rRNA from 1 species